rnacentral:rRNA from 1 species
AAGGAUCAUUACAGAGUUCAUGCCCUCACGGGUAGAUCUCCCACCCUUGAAUAUUAUACCUUAGUUGCUUUGGCAGGCCGGGGCAACCCCCGGGGCUUCGGCCUUGGUGUGCCUGCCAGAGGAAACAAACUCUGUUUUUAGUGAUGUCUGAGUACUAUAUAAUAGUUAAAACUUUCAACAACGGAUCUCUUGGUUCUGGCAUCGAUGAAGAACGCAGCGAAAUGCGAUAAGUAAUGUGAAUUGCAGAAUUCAGUGAAUCAUCAAAUCUUUGAACGCACAUUGCGCCCCGUGGUAUUCCGCGGGGCAUGCCUGUUCGAGCGUCAUUUCAACCCAUCAAGCUUCGGCUUGGUCUUGGGGCCUGCGAUUCCGCAGCCUCUAAACCCAGUGGCGGUGCCUCCGAGCUCUGAGCGUAGUAAUUCUUCUCGCUAUAGGGUCUCGGUGGUGUCUUGCCAGCAACCCCCAAUUUUUUACAGGUUGACCUCGGAUCAGGUAGGGAUACCCGCUGAACUUAAGCAUAUCAAUAAGCGGAGGAAAAGAAACCAACAGGGAUUACCUCAGUAACGGCGAGUGAAGCGGUAACAGCUCAAAUUUGAAAUCUGCCGCAAGGCCGAGUUGUAAUUUGUAGAAGAUGCUUUGGGUAUGGCCCCGGUCUAAGUUCGUUGGAACACGACGUCAUAGAGGGUGAGAAUCCCGUAUGUAACUGGGUGCUUUUGCCUAUGUAAAGCUCUUUCGACGAGUCGAGUUGUUUGGGAAUGCAGCUCAAAAUGGGUGGUAUAUUUCAUCUAAAGCUAAAUAUUGGCCAGAGACCGAUAGCGCACAAGUAGAGUGAUCGAAAGAUGAAAAGCACUUUGGAAAGAGAGUUAAACAGUACGUGAAAUUGUUGAAAGGGAAGCGCUUGCAACCAGACUUGCACGCUGUUGAUCAUCCAGGCUUCUGUCUGGUGCACUCGGCAGCGUUCAGGCCAGCAUCGGUUCUGGUGGUGGGAUAAAGGCCUUGGGAAUGUAGCUUCUUUCGGGGAGUGUUAUAGCCCUCGGUGCAAUGCCGCCUAUCGGGACCGAGGACCGCGCUUCGGCUAGGAUGCUGGCGUAAUGGUUGUAAGCGACC